AAAAUACGACACUUCAAAUUAUUUAUUAACGAGCUGCGCUCGGAAUCGUCUUUCGUCAAGCAAUGGUUUAUCAUUGUUUACAGAUAUAAAAUAAAUGCCCUUCCAAACUUUUCACCUGCAACAGUGGCUGCCCCCAUUCUCAAUAUCAGCUCUUUUUUUCUUCUUUGAAAUAAUUUUUACCUCGGUCUUAAAUCGAAAUGAUUUCGUCGUAUAGAUUCUUUAUAUUGAUAUU